rnacentral:rRNA from 1 species
AUUGAACGCUGGCGGCAGGCCUAACACAUGCAAGUCGAGCGGAUGAAGGGAGCUUGCUCCUGGAUUCAGCGGCGGACGGGUGAGUAAUGCCUAGGAAUCUGCCUGGUAGUGGGGGAUAACGUCCGGAAACGGGCGCUAAUACCGCAUACGUCCUGAGGGAGAAAGUGGGGGAUCUUCGGACCUCACGCUAUCAGAUGAGCCUAGGUCGGAUUAGCUAGUUGGUGGGGUAAAGGCCUACCAAGGCGACGAUCCGUAACUGGUCUGAGAGGAUGAUCAGUCACACUGGAGCUGAGACACGGUCCAGACUCCUACGGGAGGCAGCAGUGGGGAAUAUUGGACAAUGGGCGAAAGCCUGAUCCAGCCAUGCCGCGUGUGUGAAGAAGGUCUUCGGAUUGUAAAGCACUUUAAGUUGGGAGGAAGGGCAGUAAGUUAAUACCUUGCUGUUUUGACGUUACCAACAGAAUAAGCACCGGCUAACUUCGUA